rnacentral:rRNA from 2 species
GGUGCUAAUACCGUAUAACAACAAAAUCCGCAAGGAUUUUGUUUGAAAGGUGGCUUCGGCUAUCACUUCUGGAUGAUCCCGCGGCGUAUUAGUUAGUUGGUGAGGUAAAGGCCCACCAAGACGAUGAUACGUAUGCCAACCUGAGAGGGUAAUCGGCCACACAUGGGACUGAGACCACGGCCCAAACUCCUACGGGAGGCAGCAGUAGGGAAUCUUCCACAAUGGACGAAAGUCUGAUGGAGCAAUGCCGCGUGAGUGAAGAAGGGUUUCGGCUCGUAAAACUCUGUUGUUAAAGAAGAACACCUUUGAGAGUAACUGUUCAAGGGUGGACGGUAUUUAACCAGAAAGCCACGGCUAAAUACGUGCCAGCAGGCCGCGGUAAUACGUAGGUGGCAAGCGUUGUCCGGAUUUAUUGGGCGUAAAGCGAGCGCAGGCGGUUUUUUAAGUCUGAUGUGAAAGCCUUCGGCUUAACCGGAGAAGUGCAUCGGAAACUGGGAGACUUGAGUGCAGAAGAGGACAGUGGAACUCCAUGUGUAGCGGUGGAAUGCGUAGAUAUAUGGAAGAACACCAGUGGCGAAGGGCGGCUGUCUAGUCUGUAACUGACGCUGAGGCUCGAAAGCAUGGGUAGCGAACAGGAUUAGAUACCCUGGUAGUCCAUGCCGUAAACGAUGAGUGCUAAGUGUUGGAGGGUUUCCGCCCUUCAGUGCUGCAGCUAACGCAUUUAAGCACUCCGCCUGGGGAGUACGACCGCAAGGUUGAAACUCAAAGGAAUUGACGGGGGCCCGCACAAGCGGUGGAGCAUGUGGUUUAAUUCGAAGCUACGCGAAGAACCUUACAAGGUCUUGACAUCCUUCUGCCAAUCUUAGAGAUAAGACGUUCCCUUCCGGGACAGAAUGACAGGUGGUGCAGGGAUGUCGUCAGCUCGUGUCGUGAGAUGUUGGGUUAAGUCCCGCAACGAGCGCAACCCUUAUUAUCAGUUGCCAGCAUUCAGUUGGGCACUCUGGUGAGACUGCCGGUGACAAACCGGAGGAAGGUGGGGAUGACGUCAAAUCAUCAUGCCCCUUAUGACCUGGGCUACACACGUGCUACAAUGGACGGUACAACGAGUUGCGAAGUCGUGAGGCUAAGCUAAUCUUUUAAAGCCGUUCUCAGUUCGGAUUGUAGGUGCAACUUGCCUACGUGAAGUGGGAAUC